ensembl:lncRNA
GAGCAGGGUGCUGAGUGCUUGCUGUCUUUUAGCCUCGCUCAGCUGAGGUUUCUGAGCUGUGAGAAAAGCACAUCUCCCAGCGGGGGAACCAGAGCUGGCAGACCAUGGAUCUCAUUGUCACACUAAAGCAGAUCUCAGCAAAGUCCUUUUGGAAAAUUCCAGGCUGGCUCAGCUGCGCUGAGAACAGAGCGAGUUUCAGAGGCUGGUGUCUGAGCUGCCGCUGUGAUCAGAGCACUGAGAGUCCCGGGCGGGAGGCAGGCUGAUGGAAAUAACACAAAAGAACAGUCUAUGACGCCCGGAAGAGUCUAGAGGAAAGAGAAACACUAAGCAUUUAGCAAAGACCUGCCGAACUUCCCGAACCCUUCACUCUUUAGGACUCAGAGGAAGGGGAGUGGAUACGCUUAAAGGAUUAGAAUCAUGUAAUUAUUAAACAAGGUAAUACUGCAAAGACACAGACGCUGCACUUUUCUCAAUAAUCCAUGGACGCUGCACAAGUUCUCUUGCUCUUCCGAAAUCCUAGCACGUUUUCAACAGCAGGAAUUGCACAGAAGACGCCCGCUCAUUAAAUGAUCAUAAAAGCAAACACACAGG